rnacentral:rRNA from 1 species
AACUACAGCCGUGUGGCGCGUUGACACACUUGAUCCUUGAUCUCAGAAGUGAAGCAACGGGCAGUCUGGACAGUAAUUGGAAGGGAGACCACCAAAGAAGACUGGAUGCUACAAAGC